ACGCUGAAGGCAUCUAAGCGUGAAGCCCCCCUCAAGAUGAGAUAUCCCAUUCUUAGUGAAGUAAACCCCCUUGAAGACGACGAGGUAGAUAGGGCAGAGGUGGAAGUGUGGCAACACAUGGAGCUGACUGUUACUAAUCGGGUGAGGGCUUGACCAAG
rnacentral:rRNA from 1 species